AAAUUGAAGAGUUUGAUCAUGGCUCAGAUUGAACGCUGGCGGCAGGCCUAACACAUGCAAGUCGAGCGGUAGCACAGAGAGCUUGCUCUCGGGUGACGAGCGGCGGACGGGUGAGUAAUGUCUGGGAAACUGCCUGAUGGAGGGGGAUAACUACUGGAAACGGUAGCUAAUACCGCAUAAUGUCGCAAGACCAAAGUGGGGGACCUUCGGGCCUCAUGCCAUCAGAUGUGCCCAGAUGGGAUUAGCUAGUAGGUGGGGUAACGGCUCACCUAGGCGACGAUCCCUAGCUGGUCUGAGAGGAUGACCAGCCACACUGGAACUGAGACACGGUCCAGACUCCUACGGGAGGCAGCAGUGGGGAAUAUUGCACAAUGGGCGCAAGCCUGAUGCAGCCAUGCCGCGUGUGUGAAGAAGGCCUUCGGGUUGUAAAGCACUUUCAGCGGGGAGGAAGGCGUUAAGGUUAAUAACCUUGUCGAUUGACGUUACCCGCAGAAGAAGCACCGGCUAACUCCGUGCCAGCAGCCGCGGUAAUACGGAGGGUGCAAGCGUUAAUCGGAAUUACUGGGCGUAAAGCGCACGCAGGCGGUCUGUCAAGUCGGAUGUGAAAUCCCCGGGCUCAACCUGGGAACUGCAUUCGAAACUGGCAGGCUAGAGUCUUGUAGAGGGGGGUAGAAUUCCAGGUGUAGCGGUGAAAUGCGUAGAGAUCUGGAGGAAUACCGGUGGCGAAGGCGGCCCCCUGGACAAAGACUGACGCUCAGGUGCGAAAGCGUGGGGAGCAAACAGGAUUAGAUACCCUGGUAGUCCACGCCGUAAACGAUGUCGAUUUGGAGGUUGUGCCCUUGAGGCGUGGCUUCCGGAGCUAACGCGUUAAAUCGACCGCCUGGGGAGUACGGCCGCAAGGUUAAAACUCAAAUGAAUUGACGGGGGCCCGCACAAGCGGUGGAGCAUGUGGUUUAAUUCGAUGCAACGCGAAGAACCUUACCUGGUCUUGACAUCCACAGAACUUUCCAGAGAUGGAUUGGUGCCUUCGGGAACUGUGAGACAGGUGCUGCAUGGCUGUCGUCAGCUCGUGUUGUGAAAUGUUGGGUUAAGUCCCGCAACGAGCGCAACCCUUAUCCUUUGUUGCCAGCGGUUAGGCCGGGAACUCAAAGGAGACUGCCAGUGAUAAACUGGAGGAAGGUGGGGAUGACGUCAAGUCAUCAUGGCCCUUACGACCAGGGCUACACACGUGCUACAAUGGCAUAUACAAAGAGAAGCGACCUCGCGAGAGCAAGCGGACCUCAUAAAGUAUGUCGUAGUCCGGAUUGGAGUCUGCAACUCGACUCCAUGAAGUCGGAAUCGCUAGUAAUCGUAGAUCAGAAUGCUACGGUGAAUACGUUCCCGGGCCUUGUACACACCGCCCGUCACACCAUGGGAGUGGGUUGCAAAAGAAGUAGGUAGCUUAACCUUCGGGAGGGCGCUUACCACUUUGUGAUUCAUGACUGGGGUGAAGUCGUAACAAGGUAACCGUAGGGGAACCUGCGGUUGGAUCACCUCCUUACCUUAAAGAA
rnacentral:rRNA from 2 species